AUUGAACGCUGGCGGCAGGCCUAACACAUGCAAGUCGAGCGGAUGAAGGGAGCUUGCUCCUGGAUUCAGCGGCGGACGGGUGAGUAAUGCCUAGGAAUCUGCCUGGUAGUGGGGGAUAACGUCCGGAAACGGGCGCUAAUACCGCAUACGUCCUGAGGGAGAAAGUGGGGGAUCUUCGGACCUCACGCUAUCAGAUGAGCCUAGGUCGGAUUAGCUAGUUGGUGGGGUAAAGGCCUACCAAGGCGACGAUCCGUAACUGGUCUGAGAGGAUGAUCAGUCACACUGGAACUGAGACACGGUCCAGACUCCUACGGGAGGCAGCAGUGGGGAAUAUUGGACGAUGGGCGAAAGCCUGAUCCAGCCAUGCCGCGUGUGUGAAGAAGGUCUUCGGAUUGCAAAGCACUUUAAGUUGGGAGGAAGGGCAGUAAGUUAAUACCUUGCUGUUUUGACGUUACCAACAGAAUAAGCACCGGCUAACUUCGUG
rnacentral:rRNA from 1 species